UACGUAGGCAGCGAGCGUUGUUCGGAGUUACUGGGCGUAAAGGGUGUGUAGGCGGUUGUUUAAGUUUGGUGUGAAAUCUCCUGGCUCAACCGGGAGGGUGCGCCGAAUACUGAAUGACUUCGAGUGCGAGAGAGGAGAGUGGAAUUCCUGGUGUAGCGGUGAAAUGCGUAGAUAUCAGGAGGAACACCGGUGGUGUAGACGGCUCUCUGGACCGUAACUGACGCUGAGACACGAAAGCGUGGGUAGCAAACAGG
rnacentral:rRNA from 1 species